UUACGGCCAUAUCACGUUUAAACUAUCGGUUCCCGUACGAUCACUGAUGUUAAAUAACGUUGAGCCAAGUCAGUAGGUGAACGCUUGGGAAUACCAGGUAUUGUAAG